UAUUGCUAUCAAUCUGUUCUUUGCUGACGGACCCAAAUCCUGAUGAUCCAUUGGUGCCGGAGAUUGCUCAUAUGUACAAGACAGACAGGAACAAGUACGAGACAACUGCAAGGAGCUGGACCCAGAAGUAUGCCAUGGGCUAAACGAGCUUUGGUGUGUGUGAGAGGGGAGGCCCUUGGUUCUUUUAUAUUUUGGCUUUUCAGUUCUAUGUAUGAAUGUUUGUUCCUAAAAUGGACCAAGGAGGUCCUCAUCAUGCCCUUAGUUAAGGAAGAA
rnacentral:lncRNA from 1 species